rnacentral:lncRNA from 1 species
AUAUACUGGAGUUUGGAGCAGUGAUGCUCCGGUCUCCCGUAUAUUAUAAGGGAGUCAGCAAAGUAUACCGGUCAAGCAUAAUAUGCUGGAGUUCGUACACAUAUGCACUGAACUCCCGUAUUUAUUCGAGACCAGUCUCUAUUGCAGCAAAAUAGUAGUUAUUUCUAUUGACUUCGUAAACGGUGACUAUUUUUGAUUGACCAGAGUAAAAAUUCGCUAUAUUGUGUUAUUUUAAUCGAAAACUUAAUGCACCGAGCUACCAUUUUUACCCCAUAUCUAUUACUCGCUGAUCUAACAAAUCUGAAAUCGAUUUGAGGCCCAUUAAAAGGAGAAUUG